rnacentral:misc_RNA from 1 species
CUCUCUCUAAUUGCAAUUGAUGAGGCUCAUUGCUGUAGUCAAUGGGGUCACGACUUUCGCCCUGACUACAAGAACCUUGGUAUCCUCAAGAUUCAGUUUCCCAAUGUUCCUAUGUUGGCUUUGACCGCAACUGCUACUCGAAAAGUCCAAUAUGAUCUGAUGGAGAUGCUACAUAUACCAAAAUGUGUUAAAUUUGUUAGCACAGUCAACAGGCC